CCUACGGGCGGCAGCAGUGAGGAAUAUUGGUCAAUGGGCGAGAGCCUGAACCAGCCAAGUCGCGUGAAGGAUGACGGCCCUACGGGUUGUAAACUUCUUUUGUCAGGGAGCAAUUGGGUCCACGCGUGGGCUUAGCGAGAGUACCUGAAGAAAAAGCAUCGGCUAACUCCGUGCCAGCAGCCGCGGUAAUACGUAGGUGGCGAGCGUUAUCCGGAAUGAUUGGGCGUAAAGGGUGCGUAGGCGGCCUGCUAAGUCUGGAGUGAAAGGUACCGGCUCAACCGGUACAGGCUCUGGAAACUGGCGGGCUAGAGAGCAGGAGAGGGCGGUGGAACUCCAUGUGUAGCGGUAAAAUGCGUAGAUAUAUGGAAGAACACCAGUGGCGAAGGCGGCCGCCUGGCCUGUUACUGACGCUGAGGCACGAAAGCGUGGGGAGCAAAUAGGAUUAGAUACCCUGGUAGUC
rnacentral:rRNA from 1 species